rnacentral:lncRNA from 1 species
AAUUUAUUCAAUAGAUAAGACAAAUAUGAAAUUGUGGUAGAUUGUAACAUUUCAUUCAUUGUAUUCACAGAUAUCUCUGAACAACAAAGACAAUGAUAUAUGAUUUUAAUCGCACAGUAGUAUAGCAGUGAAUAAAAGCUAAGCAUCUGGUUCGUUUCUCAAAAAGAUUUGAAAACUGAGACUUCUACUAAGGUCCAAUACAGCAGCAAAUGUAUAUGGGUUGUUAAAUAAAUAUGAGAUUCUGAAAUACAAAUCUGCACAUUUAGGCAAAAGUAAAAUUUUUACUUUAGUAUGUAGAAAAUGUAAAAGUCUAUGUUUUUCUAAAGGAAACCCCCAAAGAAAAUAACUAAUUAAGGAUGAACAUUUCAUAUGACAUCAUUCACAUAUUUGAAGCACAUUGUGUUCUUGUUCAUCCAAUUACACAACAGCACAUUUUUUAAACACAAAUAUACAUCUGAAUAUUGACUGUAUAAAUAGGUGAUGACUUUAUAAAAUAAAUGCUAUUUAGACUGACUUUAACUUCAGUAAUAUGUGUUUGAUUUUGUUGAAAUUAAUUAAAAAUUUCAUUUCACAAUAAAAAUAUCUUAACACUUUUACUGGUAAAAAAUUUCCUACAAAGACUAAGACCCUGUUUACACUGACAAAAAAAAUCGAUCUUUACUAAGAUCUAU